rnacentral:lncRNA from 1 species
GUUGGCUGAAGUGUGAGAUUUUUUUUUCAAUUUUUGCUGCUUCUUUGGGCUUAAUGUGUUACAAAAUAUAUCAAGACAGUCAAGAUAACACUAGCCAAGAAACGAUAAGGUGCUGCUUGGAUAUUGUUUAGUACUAUUUAAGUAUUAAGGAAGUAAUAGAGAAGUUUUGAGAUGAUGGCCAAUGUUUUUUUCAUGGUUUUGUUUGUCCUUUCAACAUGCUGGGGUGAAUAUUCUCUGAACCAAACCAAACAUAGUGCGAAUGGAACCACUGGAACAACAGAUGGAAAAAAGCUUGAACUUCUUCGUUUUAUUCGACUGUCUAUCACGUGUCUGGGUUUGUCGAUCAUGCUCGUUCUCUCAUAUGCCAUCUUCACCCACCUUCACAAACUGAAGAUACACAGGUCUCUGGUAUGCGCGAGAAGAAAGUAGGCAGAGGGCACAGAAGCUACAAAGAGAAGAUCAACUCAAUCUACAUGUGCAUGCCUGACAAAUUACCAGCACAGGGAGCAGGACAUGACCUUUGACCUGGAAGUUCUCUAUCUGGGUGUGUCCCAAAAGCAUCCACACUUGUACUUUCCGAUCAUUUUAUAUGGUGUCUAAAUCAGUUUGCUAUAGCCUGUUAAUGGAAUGCUGCACAAGGUCCACCUUAUGGCAACACCUUUCUGUACACCACCCACAGACUGUGCCAUAUAAAAACACCCUUUGGAUAAUAGUAGAGGAAGAAUGCACACAUGACUGUAAGUCACUUUGGAUAAAAUCUGUGGAUAAAAGCGUCUGCUAAACGGCAUAUAUUAUUAUUAUUAUAUUACGAAACUCUCAUUAUGUGGUCAUACAAAGAUACAUGGCUCAUCAUGUAAUCAUAUAAACAUGCAAGGAGGAAUGUCAUACCUCACACACCAAAUUGAUAUGUGCAAUCUACGCUAUAGACUGCUUGGUCACUUGGAGUCAAAUCUUCAGUUUUAAUCUGCUUUUAGACAAGUAAAGGCACACAGUAUGCAUUUGCAGUCCCACGAGCUAGCUGAAAGUGUAGCGAGCCUCGCUCCUGAAAAUGGUCCCAGUUUGUGGCAAGGGCUUGAAUCCCAGAUGAGAUAUUAUUUUAACAUUUUAUAAUGUAGAAUUAUAAUUAUUGUGUUAGUGUGUUGCGAAGGGAAGUGCAGCCAAUGCCUUGAAAAUGAAGAUUAAGAAUAAAUGUAAUGAGGAGCUACGUCUUUCUUCAGCCAUAUAGACACAAAUACACUGAUAAUAAUGAGGUUUAUUAUAUAGGCUAUAUUACAUAGACGUGUACACUUAAAUGUAUAAUAUAUUACAUGCAUUAUUAUAAUAAUCAUCCACUUCUGUCACGUCCUGACCAGUAAAAGGGGUUGUUUGUUAUUGUAGUUUGGUCAGGGCGUGGCAGGGGGUGUUUGUUUUAUGUGUUAUUUUUUUUCUUUUGGUUAAUGUUCUAUGUUGGUAUAUUUCUAUGUUCAUUCUAGUCUUUCUAUUUCUAUGUUUAGGUUAUUGGGUUGACCUUCAAUUGGAGGCAGCUGUUCCUCGUUGCCUCUAAUUGAAGGUCCUAUUUAGUAGGGGUGUUUUUUCAUGGGUUUUUGUGGGUAGUUGUUCCUUGUGUAGUUGUGUGCCUUACAGGACUGUUUCUCGUCGAUGUUUUUUGUAUUAAGUGUUUUGUUUCGUUUUCUUCUCAUUAAAUAAAGAAGAUGAGCAUACACAUUCCCGCUGUGCUUUGGUCCAAUUCCUACACCGAACGUGACAGAACUACCCACCACCAACGGACCAAGCAGCGGGGUAAGGAGCAUGGUGAAGAAGAAUGGACAUGGGCAGAGAUGAGGAUGAGCAUAUCCAGGGCUAUGGAGGAUGUAAGGAAGACCGAGAGGCAUCCCCAAGAACAUUCUUUUGGGGGGGCACACGGGGAGUUGGGCAGAGUCAGGAUGGAGACCUGAGCCAACUCCCCGUGCUUAUUAUGGGGAGCAACGAAUGAGUGUCACCUCAGUCAUUCUUGCAACCAAAGUCCUUUGAGAUAUGUUCACCCUCUGGUUGGUAUUAUCUUCGGAACUAUUUAGUCCUUUUUAACAGACUAAGGGUGAUUUAUCUAGCGGACAAGCAUUCCAUACAACAUAAAUCAAGUAUUUCCUCAUUUACCACUGCAAAUCUACUGUGGCAAUUUACCAGACAUUUUGUAUGAAUGAAAACUUUUGGUGUAGCCUGUUAAUAUUUUUAUUUGUUUCCUAUUUAUGUUAGCCAUUAAAAUACUACUGUCUUUAAAAUAAAA